GACGUAGGGUGCAAGCGUUGUCCGGAAUUAUUGGGCGUAAAGAGCUCGUAGGCGGUUUGUCGCGUCUGCUGUGAAAACUCGGGGCUUAACUCCGGGCCUGCAGUGGGUACGGGCAGACUAGAGUGCGGUAGGGGAGACUGGAAUUCCUGGUGUAGCGGUGAAAUGCGCAGAUAUCAGGAGGAACACCGGUGGCGAAGGCGGGUCUCUGGGCCGAUUCUGACACUGAGGAGCGAAAGCGUGGGGAGCAAACAGG
rnacentral:rRNA from 1 species